rnacentral:rRNA from 1 species
AAGGUCCCCCACAUUGGUACUGAGACACGGACCAAACUCCUACGGGAGGCAGCAGUGAGGAAUAUUGGUCAAUGGGCGUAAGCCUGAACCAGCCAAGUCGCGUGAGGGAUGAAGGUUCUAUGGAUCGUAAACCUCUUUUAUAAGGGAAUAAAGUGCGGGACGUGUCCCGUUUUGUAUGUACCUUAUGAAUAAGGAUCGGCUAACUCCGUGCCAGCAGCCGCGGUAAUACGGAGGAUCCGAGCGUUAUCCGGAUUUAUUGGGUUUAAAGGGUGCGUAGGCGGCCUUUUAAGUCAGCGGUGAAAGUCUGUGGCUCAACCAUAGAAUUGCCGUUGAAACUGGGAGGCUCGAGUAUGUUUGAGGCAGGCGGAAUGCGUGGUGUAGCGGUGAAAUGCUUAGAUAUCACGCAGAACCCCGAUUGCGAAGGCAGCCUGCCAAGCCAUGACUGACGCUGAUGCACGAAAGCGUGGGGAUCAAACAGGAUUAGAUACCCUGGUA